UGCAAGUCGAGCGGAUCAGGUUCCUUCGGGGGCCUGAUUAGCGGCGAACGGGUGAGGAAUAGAUGGAUAACGUACCCUGGACACGGGGAUAGCGGCGGGGCUUCGGCCCCUUUGCGAAAGUGCCGGUAAUACCCGAUGACCCCGCGUGGUCGCAUGACCGUGCGGGCAAAUGCUCCGGCGGUCCGGGAUCGGUCCAUCUCCUAUCAGCUAGUUGGUGAGGUAACGGCUCACCAAGGCAUCGACGGGUAGCGGGCGUGAGAGCGUGGCCCGCCACAUCGGGACUGAGACACUGCCCGGACACCUACGGGUGGCUGCAGCAACGAAUAUUCCGCAAUGGACGCAAGUCUGACGGAGCGACGCCGCGUGCAGGAAGAAGUCCUUCGGGAUGUAAACUGCUGUCAGGGGCUAGGAAUACCGACCAGCCCCAAAGGAAGCACCGGCUAACUCCGUGCCAGCAGCCGCGGUAAUACGGAGGGUGCAAGCGUUGUUCGGAAUUACUGGGCUUAAAGCGCGUGUAGGCGGGACGGCAAGUGUCGGGUGAAAUCCCACGGCUCAACCGUGGAACUGCUCGGCAAACUGCCGCCCUUGAGGCAGGUAGAGGUGACUGGAACGACUGGUGGAGCGGUGAAAUGCGUAGAUAUCAGUUGGAACGCCAGAGGCGAAAGCGGGUCACUGGGCCUGUCCUGACGCUGAGACGCGAAAGCGUGGGGAGCAAACAGGAUUAGAUACCCUGGUAGUCCACGCCGUAAACGAUGGAUGCUAGCCGUUGGACAGCAUGCUGUUCAGUGGCGCAGCUAACGCAUUAAGCAUCCCGCCUGGGGAGUACAGCCGCAAGGUUAAAACUCAAAGGAAUUGACGGGGGCCCGCACAAGCGGUGGAGCAUGUGGUUUAAUUCGAGGCAACGCGAAGAACCC
rnacentral:rRNA from 1 species